rnacentral:rRNA from 1 species
UACGAAGGGGGCUAGCGUUGUUCGGAAUUACUGGGCGUAAAGCGCGCGCAGGCGGUCUUCCAAGGUCAGUGGUGAAAGCCCGGGGCUCAACCCCGGAACUGCCUUUAAGACUGCAUCGCUUGAAUCCAGGAGAGGUGAGUGGAAUUCCGAGUGUAGAGGUGAAAUUCGUAGAUAUUCGGAAGAACACCAGUGGCGAAGGCGGCUC